rnacentral:rRNA from 1 species
GCUUAUCACCAUUCCAGAUUGAAUAUACCCGAUCUCGUCUGAUCUCGGAAGUCAAGCACUCUCGGGCUUGGUUAGUACUUGGAUGGGUGACCGCUUGGGAAUACCAAGUGUGAUAAGCA